rnacentral:rRNA from 1 species
CCCCCCCCCCUAAAAUAAAGAUAUGCAUGGAAGUUUUGGGUUGGGGCGACCGCGGAGAACAAAAUACCCUCCGUAACGAAAAUAACUAAACCUUUAUCCCAGAGCCACCCCUCAAAGAAUUAGCACCCUAACGAACAAUGACCCGAUUAUCGAUCAACGAACCAAGUUACCCUGGGGAUAACAGCGCAAUCUACUCCAAGAGUCCAUAUCGACAAGUAGGUUUACGACCUCGAUGUUGGAUCAGGAUAUCCCAGUGGUGCAGCCGCUA